rnacentral:rRNA from 1 species
GACAGAGGAUGCAAGCGUUAUCCGGAAUGAUUGGGCGUAAAGCGUCUGUAGGUGGCUUUUUAAGUCCGCCGUCAAAUCCCAGGGCUCAACCCUGGACAGGCGGUGGAAACUACCAAGCUGGAGUACGGUAGGGGCAGAGGGAAUUUCCGGUGGAGCGGUGAAAUGCGUAGAGAUCCGGAGGAACACCGACGGCGAAGGCAGCGCCCUGGCCGCCAUCUGACGCUCAGGCACGAAAGCUGGGGGAGCGAACAGG